rnacentral:misc_RNA from 1 species
AGAGUGACAAUCCCAACUGAGAUUACAAUUGCCACUUUCUUAGACAGUUUCACUGGUUGUGUUGCUAUUGGGAUUGGAAUGUGGAUGGUGAUGGUGAUGGUGAUGGCCGUUGGCUUUGAUCUGGGGUUGGCCCAAUUAGGACCUUGGGGAAGAAGGGUUGGUCUAGGGUGGAAAAGACCUGGCUGUCAAGCAGAGGCAGUGGUGAUGAUGAGUCUAUGCUUGGCAGUGGGGCUGAGCUGUUUGGAAAUAAAGGCUGGUGGAGGAUUCUUCUGUGAGUUUUGGGACCAGUAGUAGAGUGUAGAAUUUCAAUUGCAACAUUGGGCUGAGGAGAUGAUGAUAUGGGUAGAGGAGAAUUAUUUGUUGAAUGGAUGAGGCGGUGGUAGAUGGACAGACUCAUUAGCUUUUGGUAGAGGAGAUAAAAUAAAAGGGUAUUUUGGUCUUUCCAUGUUAAAGUAACGGCAAAUUGAUUUUAAAAUGGAUUGAGGGACCUAUUUGUUAACAUAAUCAUUAUCUAGGAACUACAUAAGCAAUUUCUGAAAAAACGGUGACAUAAGUGUUAAUUAUGGCAUAACUUAGAGACUUUGCGGUAGGGGAGGGCAGGCUCUAGCAUUAUAAAAUGGACAAAUUACUUGUGUUUAUAUGUAAUAUAUUUAUAAUAUGCUGCCUAUUCAAAGUCGUGCUAUUUUUUUAAUAAUAAAUACCAGUUUAACACUGUAUAACUUUGAAGAACUUAGGUUAGAAAGUAGACAACGUAAAAUUUGUUUUUAGUUUUUGCUAUCUAUUUUUGUAAGGAACUACUAGAGGUUAUUCAUUUUUAGAUGGCUAUAUAAAUAAACCUUCCAUUUUUCAAAGAUUAUGCACAUAAUAUAUCAUAUGAGAAUUGUGCAUCUAAUGAGAUGUAAAAACAAUUAAU